rnacentral:tRNA from 1 species
GGCUGGGUGCUGGAACUGGUAGACAGUUGCGUCUCAAAAACGCAUGGAGGUAAACUCCGUGAGGGUUCGACUCCCUCCCCAGCCA